rfam:Myotis davidii contig88927, whole genome shotgun sequence.
GGCAGCUCGUGGGUGACGCACCUCAGAAUCAGGCUCCCUCCUCUCUGGUUCCCGGUGCGUUUCCUGAGAACCAUA